rnacentral:rRNA from 1 species
GACGAACGCUGGCGGCGUGCUUAACACAUGCAAGUCGAACGGAAAGGCCCUGCUUUUGUGGGGUGCUCGAGUGGCGAACGGGUGAGUAACACGUGAGUAACCUGCCCUUGACUUUGGGAUAACUUCAGGAAACUGGGGCUAAUACCGGAUAGGAGCUCCUGCUGCAUGGUGGGGGUUGGAAAGUUUCGGCGGCUGGGGAUGGACUCGCGGCUUAUCAGCUUGUUGGUGGGGUAGUGGCUUACCAAGGCUUUGACGGGUAGCCGGCCUGAGAGGGUGACCGGCCACAUUGGGACUGAGAUACGGCCCAGACUCCUACGGGAGGCAGCAGUGGGGAAUAUUGCACAAUGGGAGGAAGCCUGAUGCAGCAACGCCGCGUGCGGGAUGACGGCCUUCGGGUUGUAAACCGCUUUCGCCUGUGACGAAGCGUGAGUGACGGUAAUGGGUAAAGAAGCACCGGCUAACUACGUG